AAUUCUGGUGGUGAGGGCAACUGGCACAUAGUUUCUUAAAUCUCUCCCAGUAUUCAUAUAAGUUCUCUCCACUGAGUUGUCUAAUGCUUGAAAUAUCUUUUUUGAUGGU